rnacentral:rRNA from 1 species
UACUAGAGUAGCACUCGCAUAUCAAUAAGCGGAGGAAAAGAAACUAACAAGGAUUCCCCUAGUAACGGCGAGUGAAGCGGGAAGAGCUCAAAUUUGAAAUCUUAAAGGGUUUCCCUUUACGAAUUGUAGUUUAAAGAAGUGUUUUCUGUUGAGGUUUUGGUAAAAGUUCUUUGGAAUAGGACAUCAUAGAGGGUGAGAAUCCCGUAUUUGACCUUUACUUUCAACUUUGUGAUACACUUUCAAGAGUCGGAUUGUUUGGGAAUGCAGUCCAAAAUGGGUGGUAAAUUUCAUCUAAAGCUAAAUAUUGGCGAGAGACCGAUAGCGAACAAGUACCGUGAGGGAAAGAUGAAAAGAACUUUGAAAAGAGAGUUAAACAGUACGUGAAAUUGUCAAAAGGGAAGCGUUUGACACCAGUGUUGUUUUCUGAAAAUCAAUUAAAGAACUGUUUAUGCUAAGUUGUUUAGACUUUAUCAGCUAUCUGUUUAGUUUUGAGCUUUUCUUUGAUGCACUUUUCAGUUAACAAGUCAACAUCAAUUUCUUUUGCUGUAAAAAAGCUUGAGGAAGGUGGCUUGAGAUUCGUCUUAAGUGUUUAUAGCCUCUUGCCUAUGCAGUCGGAGAGAUUGAGGUCUGCAGCGUAGAUCCUUCGGGGCUAAAUGCAUUUGUGCUAAGUUAUAGCAUUUUAUAGACAACUUGUUGACUAUGAUUUGUCUUGUAGCUUACUCACUUAUGUUAUUUUACCUACGCUUAGGAUGUUGAGUAGCGACAUACGCAC